rnacentral:rRNA from 1 species
UACGAAGGGGGCUAGCGUUGCUCGGAAUCACUGGGCGUAAAGCGCACGUAGGCGGACUCUUAAGUCGGUGGUGAAAUCCUGGAGCUCAACUCCAGAACUGCCUUCGAUACUGAGAGUCUCGAGUCCGAGAGAGGUGAGUGGAACUGCGAGUGUAGAGGUGAAAUUCGUAGAUAUUCGCAAGAACACCAGUGGCGAAGGCGGCUCACUGGCCCGGUACUGACGCUGAGGUGCGAAAGCGUGGGGGAGCAAACAGG